GUCUAAACCAGGACUAAACCAGGUCUAAACCAGGUCUAAACCAGGUCUAAACCAGGUCUAAACCAGGUCUAAACCAGGACUGAACCAGGUCUAAACCAGGUCUAAACCAGGUCUAAACCAGGACUAAACCAGGACUAAACCAGGUCUAAACCAGGUCUAAACCAGGUCUAAACCAGGUCUAAACCAGGUCUAAACCAGGACUGAACCAGGUCUAAACCAGGUCUAAACCACGUCUAAACCAGGACUAAACCAGGACUAAACCAGGUCUAAACCAGGACUGAACCAGGACUAAACCAGGUCUAAACCAGGACUGAACCAGGACUGAACCAGGUCUAAACCAGGACUGAACCAGGACUAAACCAGGUCUAAACCAGGACUAAACCAGGACUAAACCAGGACUAAACCAGGACUGAAUCAGG
ensembl:lncRNA